rnacentral:rRNA from 1 species
GACGAACGCUGGCGACGUGCUUAACACAUGCAAGUCGAACGGAAAGGCCCUGCUUUUGUGGGGUGCUCGAGUGGCGAACGGGUGAGUAACACGUGAGUAACCUGCCCUUGACUUUGGGAUAACUUCAGGAAACUGGGGCUAAUACCGGAUAGGAGCUCCUGCUGCAUGGUGGGGGUUGGAAAGUUUCGGCGGUUGGGGAUGGACUCGCGGCUUAUCAGCUUGUUGGUGGGGUAGUGGCUUACCAAGGCUUUGACGGGUAGCCGGCCUGAGAGGGUGACCGGCCACAUUGGGACUGAGAUACGGCCCAGACUCCUACGGGAGGCAGCAGUGGGGAAUAUUGCACAAUGGGCGGAAGCCUGAUGCAGCAACGCCGCGUGCGGGAUGACGGCCUUCGGGUUGUAAACCGCUUUCGCCUGUGACGAAGCGUGAGUGACGGUAAUGGGUAAAGAAGCACCGGCUAACUACGUGCCAGCAGCCGCGGUGAUACGUAGGGUGCGAGCGUUGUCCGGAUUUAUUGGGCGUAAAGGGCUCGUAGGUGGUUGAUCGCGUCGGAAGUGUAGUCUUGGGGCUUAACCCUGAGCGUGCUUUCGAUACGGGUUGACUUGAGGAAGGUAGGGGAGAAUGGAAUUCCUGGUGGAGCGGUGGAAUGCGCAGAUAUCAGGAGGAACACCAGUGGCGAAGGCGGUUCUCUGGGCCUUUCCUGACGCUGAGGAGCGAAAGCGUGGGGAGCGAACAGGCUUAGAUACCCUGGUAGUCCACGCUGUAAACGGUGGGUACUAGGUGUGGGGUCCAUUCCACGGGUUCCGUGCCGUAGCUAACGCUUUAAGUACCCCGCCUGGGGAGUACGGCCGCAAGGCUAAAACUCAAAGGAAUUGACGGGGCCCCGCACAAGCGGCGGAGCAUGCGGAUUAAUUCGAUGCAACGCGUAGAACCUUACCUGGGUUUGACAUGGAUCGGGAGUGCUCAGAGAUGGGUGUGCCUCUUUUGGGGUCGGUUCACAGGUGGUGCAUGGCUGUCGUCAGCUCGUGUCGUGAGAUGUUGGGUUAAGUCCCGCAACGAGCGCAACCCUUGUUCACUGUUGCCAGCACGUUAUGGUGGGGACUCAGUGGAGACCGCCGGGGUCAACUCGGAGGAAGGUGGGGAUGACGUCAAGUCAUCAUGCCCCUUAUGUCCAGGGCUUCACGCAUGCUACAAUGGCUGGUACAGAGAGUGGCGAGCCUGUGAGGGUGAGCGAAUCUCGGAAAGCCGGUCUCAGUUCGGAUUGGGGUCUGCAACUCGACCUCAUGAAGUCGGAGUCGCUAGUAAUCGCAGAUCAGCAACGCUGCGGUGAAUACGUUCCCGGG